rnacentral:rRNA from 1 species
GACGAACGCUGGCGGCGUGCCUAAUACAUGCAAGUUGAGCGCUGAAGGUUGGUACUUGUACCUACUGGAUGAGCAGCGAACGGGUGAGUAACGCGUGGGGAAUCUGCCUUUGAGCGGGGGACAACAUUUGGAAACGAAUGCUAAUACCGCAUAAAAACUUUAAACACAAGUUUUAAGUUUGAAAGAUGCAAUUGCAUCACUCAAAGAUGAUCCCGCGUUGUAUUAGCUAGUUGGUGAGGUAAAGGCUCACCAAGGCGAUGAUACAUAGCCGACCUGAGAGGGUGAUCGGCCACAUUGGGACUGAGACACGGCCCAAACUCCUACGGGAGGCAGCAGUAGGGAAUCUUCGGCAAUGGACGAAAGUCUGACCGAGCAACGCCGCGUGAGUGAAGAAGGUUUUCGGAUCGUAAAACUCUGUUGGUAGAGAAGAACGUUGGUGAGAGUGGAAAGCUCAUCAAGUGACGGUAACUACCCAGAAAGGGACGGCUAACUACGUG